rnacentral:lncRNA from 1 species
UGCAAUCCCACUAUCUCCUUCUUUUCAUUAUAAAGAUCUUUUUCCCUCUGGUCACAUAGCCAUCAUUCGAGUCUCCAAUAUAUAGCAAUCAUACCCCCAAUACAGCCGUGACCAAGCAUAAGACUUGAUGGUCGGAGCAGUUCUAGCUCGCCACAGUCAUGUGGCUAGAAGUCUUCACCUCCACCUUUGCGACAUCUAA